ensembl:lncRNA
CUCCAGCCUCUCCAAGCCUAAAGAGGAAGACACCUGUGCCCCUUCCAGCAGAACUGACGUUCCUAGUGAAGGAGACAACAGCAGAAAAGCUUAAGGCAAUGCCAGAACUCUGCACAAGUGCUGCUGUCACCUCUGCACGCAAAGUGCUUGCCUUUGAGGAGAGUAGUGAAAAUGGUAAGAAUAAACAGCAUGUAGACAGCCCCUCUAUUUUGUGAACUCCUGACACUAAGAUGUUGUCUUAACUCUGCUUUAAUCAUUUCAUUUAUUUACAUUACUUCCAUAUUAACUAUGCAAUCUAUCAUAAUAAUCAGGGCAUUACAUUCUUUUUGCCUAUCCAUUUUUCUUUUUAAAUCCUAGUUCCCUCAGCUCAGCCACCUGUUCCUGUUCUCCUGCCUGUGCAUGACCAUGACAUGAGCAGCUGGAGCUGUUCUCAACACCAGAAGCUGUGGAUGAGGAUGGAGCUUCAGGAUCUCGGGCUGUGGCCUGGGUCUCGUUCAGUGCGUAACCCAGGGAACACAAUUUCACUGUGGCGUCUUCCUCCACAACCUGAGCUUGUCGAUAUGGCGUCCGAACUCCCAUCCCCUAACUUCUUCCAGCUACACCCAUUUUUCAUCUGGAAACCGGAGAGUCACAUCAUGGUCAGGUUGAGAAACACUUACAUCCUGCCUUGUCUGCAUGGAUGUCCUCAUCCACAGGUGGUCUCUGCAGGAGUGGGCAGGCCUAGGGUGAUUGUUGGCACCAGUGGUCAGUAUUACAUCUUGUCCUCACGACUCUGCUGCAAGGCCUGUCAGAAGAACUGGUUUGCUGACAAUCCACGAUGGCUUGAGAAGCUGCCCAAGCGGUUUACCAACAUUCUGCCUGCAUUCCUGACCUACAAGAAGGCCAUCUGCAAAUCUGUGAUGGAUGAGCUGAGGCGCACUGGCAAGUCACCAACCGAUAUGGCAAACCAGGUGAAUGAGCUCAUGCACCUCAAGUAUGAGCGAGCUCACCUGGCAUACCUGCAUGCCAUAGAAAGCGUCAGGGAUGCUGAGGCUGGCAUAUAUGGACAGAGGACCAUUGGGCAGUUCCUGAGGAAGGAAAACACUCCACGUGCUUUCGGGUCAUAUGAUGAUCAAGAUGGCUGGUAUGGAGUCUCUGUGUCCAGCUUCUACCUGACUGACUGCCUACUAGAUGAGUACAAACGUCAAGAGCCAGCCAUGUCCAAACUCCUUCAGGGCACUUUUGGGCGGGUCUUCAGGUCUGACCACACCAGGAAAGUUGCAAGAAAAGUAACGCUGGCAUCUGGGGUCAUGUCCAGUUAUGCAAUCAUGAAUGAGAACUGGCUGAUUGUUUCCUGGGUGAUGGUUCAGUCUGAGACCGAGAGGUCCUUGGAGCCAAUGUACCAGGGACUGGCCAAGAGGUACGGCGAUGCUGGAGUGGAAAAGGCAGGCUUCCACUGGAUGGACAGGGAUUGCUGUGCUCCAUUUAAGAUCCCAGACUGCAUCCCUGGUGAACAUCUAAACUGGGAUGCCUGGAAGACUACCCCUUCCAUUGUUGCUGGGGCCACCUCUGGACCACUGGAGAACACCUGUGCCUCACGGUCACAUUUCAAUAAUAACAUUGUGGUGAAGCUGGACUUGUUCCACUGCCUGAGGCACGGGAAUGCACCUCUGAGCAUCACCCUCUGUUUAGUACUUUCUGCCAGCUCCUCUCCGCAGCCUUCUCUGUGGUGGAUCAGGAGGACCUAGGGAGGCUCCAGGAUGCCUAUCGGUUCUGUGGUAUCCAUCCAGCCAAUCCCACCAAACAGCACAUACGGGAGCACUGCAGGACCAAAGUACCACAACCCACAGAGCUGCUAGACAGAGUGGAGAAAGUCCUAAAGCAUUUUCACCUGGCCAUGGACCCCAACAAUAUCCCACUAUUAAAGUCAUCCAUGCUGAAGACGUGGCGCAUACAGAGAGUGCACAUUCUCCGUGGUUGCCUCAGUGACCCUGAACUCUCAGAGGGCAUAAUGUACCGGUAUGGUGGAACUCUUCAGCUAAAUCACAUACCCGGUGAAGGCGCCAAAGUCCCCAUCUGGAUCCCUGUCAGAGGUACAUCACAGCAGGAAGGGUACCACUUUCACCAGGCCCAGUGGAUCACAGGGACUCAUGUCUCCACUGAAUUGUUCCAGGCCCAGGGCAUGACAGGGGUGGCACAGUGGAACCACCAACAGCUGCUGGACCUUAAGCAGCCAGGUGUCAUCCUUCCUGCUGUGUUUGAUCCAGCUCUAAUGGUUGAGUUAAAUUCUACCUCCAAGAGAGUGACUGGGGAGGAGAAGUAUCCUACACUUCAUCUCUCUGACAGAGACACCGGAGAGAGGUUUGGCCUAGAGUACACAGAGCCAGGCUGCCGUCCAGUCCCUCUGGAUUGGGACAAACACCGAACCCAAAAGAGAGGUGAACCAGCUGCUCUUGUGCCUCUGCCUCCUGUGCAGACACCCACUCCUGCCCAAGCCCAACCCCAAACUCCGGACACAGCACCUUCCUCCAGCCAGACACAGCUCUCCAACACAGCAUCCCCUGGACCAGCAUCAUCCAUUGGCCAUUUGCUCUCUGCUGGUGAACCUCCUGCAGUGAUAGGUAAAUUAACAAUCUUUUUAGACAUAAAUUUUAAUGUAAUAACAUGAUCAACUGAGGAAUUAUUAUUGCUUUGUGUUCCAGAAAUAUCACAUGCUAAACCUGCUGCAAUCCAUAUGGUACAGAUGUUGUCACAAGGAAGCAUGGGACCUCCAGUUAAAAGGGGUAAGUUAAUACCACUUUCUAAGACCAUCAUUUUAAAUAUCAGUGUAAAUGACUUUUUGUACUCAUCAACAUCAUCUCAGUAAAUGAGGAAAAUAACAAAUAACUUUUUUCUUUGUUCUAGAAAUCUCAAAUACUCCACCCCUGCCCUUGCAAUCCUUACCAAGGAGUGCCCGCACUGGACCAAUCAAGACUGGUGGAUGAGUGUUCAUCUUGGACCACAAACGCUGGACAUCACCAAUAAAGGAGGCUAUCGACAGCCUCCUAGACAAUUAUCAUGGACAGAAAGACAUGUUGAAGCUUGUGGAUCAAGACUAUGCAGCUAUGGUCCAUCGGUCUGCCACAGCUCCAAACAGUCUGCUUCACCCCACAACCAAAUACCAUAUAGCACAGUACAUGAAACACCUGGCUAAACAGGUGAACACCAGUCCAGAAAAACUUUUGGAACAUUUGACAAACAGAAAUGGUCUCAUGAGUCUCUGAACAUAGGUAGCCAC